UUUUUUUUUUUUGUUCUUGGACUUAUGGAAAAAUAAUUUUAAAGCUAGGUGAAAAAUAACAAUUGAGAAACAUGCCUCGAAAAUGGCAUUUAUUAUAUAAAGAGUUUUUAAUAGCUUAACAUAGGAGUUAAGGUAUAAUUAUGAAAGGGGUCAUGUCCUCCUGAGGUCAUCUAUCAAAAUUUAGUGUUUACACUAUGUUAGCUUUUAUUAUUUACAGACAUUGGUUUAUCUAGAACAAUAUUUAAUGUACAUUUAAAUAUAUAGAUUCAGCCACACAACUAAUUUAUUGAGUGUAGAACUUUGCAGCAUUGGUUUAUCUGGAAGGUCCCACAGCACCACCUAGUGCUUUGUAUUUUAUUUUGCAUAAUGUUUUUGUAAAUCUAAAAAUUCUGAUCACAUUUUAGUAUCAAAUAUGGCACUGAAAUAUAGUAUAGGGUUUAAGCGGUACUCUAAAUAGAAUAAGAUAAAGUAAUUCUAAUAUGUUUAAUUAAAAUUUUUAGUGGAAAUUAAAAAUGUUGGUUUUAUAACAGAAAUAUUAGAAAAAUUUACUAGUAAAAAAGUUUACUAAUAUUUCUAGUUCACAAUCAAAGAUACUCUUUAGACGAUUGUUACACUGUAUGUGAUUUAAUGGAGUUGUUGGUAAGUUUUUUUUUUAUACAAAACAGUUGCUGAUUCCUUUUAUUUAUUUUUUAUUUACUACCUUAUAAAUAAAGUAAAGCCCAUUUUUCCAGGCUUCUUUUUGAAGUCCAUGUAUUCCCAGUCUUCAUAGAUUAAACUACACUAACACUAUAUACUACAGUUCUUAUCAAUUUUGGACAAAAUUGUAUAAUCUCUUUUAAAAUUAGAGUUUUGAGGUAUUUAAAGAUGGGAUGUUAUGAGAUAUUUAUGCAUUAAAAAAUAAAAUUAGUUAAAUAAAAGAAUGAGGUAUAGUUAUAUAUUCUUUUACAGAAGGCAUUCCAAGGAUAAUGAAGUGAGAAAAAUAAAGCUAUGUGCAAAAUACUAUGUAUAGUAUGAUUCUCUUAAGAAAAGUGCGCACAUUUGAAUGAUUUAAAAAGGUUAUGGGACGCCUGGGUGGCUCAGCAAUUGAGCAUCUGCCUUCGGCUCAGGGCGUGAUCCCAGGAUCCGGGAUUGAGUCCCAUAUCAGGCUCCUUGUGGGAAGUCUGCUUCUCCCUCUGCCUGUGUUCUGCCUCUCUGUGUGUGUUUCUCAUGAGUAAAUAAAUAAAAUCUUUAAAAAAUAAAAAACAAAUAAAAAGGUUAGAUGGAUGAGUGAGUGGGUAGAGGGAUGGAUGGCUGAAUGGGUACUGGUAUAUUAUUUUCUUUUCUGGAAGAAGUCACAAGAAACUUUUCUAGGGGAGAGUGAGGUACUAGAAAAUAAUUUUUCAUUAUUUUCCUAUACAAUUAAAAUUUUUCCCAGUCAAAUUCAUGUAUCACAUUAUUUAAGGUCAACAAGAGUUCUUGAGUAUUAAGACUAUGAACCAUUUCAUUUUUCCUUGUAAUAUUUAUCUGUAAUAAAAACAAGGCAUCUUUUCAUUAAAAAAAAGAAACUAGCAUUAUGAAACACAGUGAGCAUCUAUAUUUCAGAUCUAUCUUUUCAGAAGACCUUAUAACACAUUAUUUUUUAUUAUGGGAAGUAUAAGCUCCAAGAAGGCAGAGAAUUUUGUCAGGUUGUCACACUGUAUCCUUGACCUCUAGAAUAAUAGCAUCUGGCACAUAAUAUAUGUUCAGUAAAUAAGUUUUGAAUGAGUGAAUAAGAAUAUACCACAUUAUGUCUAAAUCUAUAUAGUAAUGAGAUGUAUCAUAGAAUUUUAUUCUAUAUAUAUAUCUGCAGUACAUAUCUUAUAUCUGAUAUAGAUAUUAUCUGAUAUCUGAACACUGACAAGUAUUAUUUCAAAGUCUGUAACAAUGAUAACAUUCAGUUGUACUCUGUGAUGUUUACAUUAUGGCCUUUUUUGGUGUAUUUGUCUUAUUAAAGACUUUAUGUAUUCAUAUUAGCAGUAUUUGGAAUUCGGUCAUAAUGAAAUUCAGUCACAAUAUACUAAAGAACACUCCUCUCAUUAUUUGCCUUGUAUAUUUCAGUUACUGAUAAUUCUAUCAUAGUGACCUAAACGGACGGUUGCUACUUUAAAAUUUCUGCAAUAACACAUUAAUCAUAAAAUGCUAAUUGUUCAUUAUUAAAUAUACUACAUUCCUAUUACAUAUGUAAAAUUUCAUGACAUUUUAUAGCUACUUGUUAGUGAAAAUCCACUCAUAGACAUAACUGUAAUUGUCUUAUUUCAAACAUAACAGUGGUUCUUACUGAUGUGAUGUGCAUAGAUUUUUUUUUUUUUAACUGACAAAGUGUGUAGAAGUUGCCCUCUACUGGGGAGCUAGAAAAAUUAUGUUGACAUAGAUUUUCAAUUUACUUAAAGACUCUUAAGUUCAUUGGUAUAAUUUAUCAGAUAAUCACUUCUUGCUCUCUGGCACAUUUUUAGUUCUGAAGAUAUAGAAGUGGUUAGCAGAAGACAUGUGAAAAUAAAUGUCUAAUAUGAAUAUACUUACAGUCACUUCUGAGUAAAAACAUUGGUUUUUCCUUCUUAAAAACUCUUUUCUUUUUUCAGAUUUUAUUUUUUUAAGUAAUCUCUAUACCCAGUAUGGGGCUUGUACUUGCAACCUCAAGAUCAAGAGAUGCAUGCUCUACUGACUGAGCCAGCCAGCCUCCCUUCUUUUUUGUAAGCUCCUCAGUGGCAACACCCAGUACUGUUGACCCAGAAGUAAUUGUGUAAGAAUGAGUCUUUGCUGAAACAUUAAGAGGAAGUAGUUGUGUAUAAUUUAUAUCACCAAAAAUGAGGACUCUUUUUAGCAAUUUACCUUGGAAUUUGGGGGAUAAAAGUCUAAGCACUAAAAAUAUUUUUAAGCUAGCUUUUUUGCAUUUUCCUGGGUCAUAAGGUGAAAUUUGAUUAUGCAGAAGUGAUUUACUUUUAUUGAUUAUUGAACUUUUUGUACCAGAAGAAAGCCCAUGAUCAUAAAAUGACAAAGUCCCGUUUACCAGGUGAAUCAGCUGAUAAGUUAAUGUUCCUCCUCACCUCAUCACUGUUUUUCCUUCUGCCUCUAGGAAUUCUACCAAGCUUUGGGUAGCACUGGCCUAGCAAGGUCCAGGGCUUGGAUCCACCUUGUUCAGACUCCAAUAUCCCAUCGUAUGUUUUUCCUCUCCCGCCCACCGAUAUAGAAUAAAAAUAAGCAUAUUAUUCGGGAGAAACCUGUUCAAAGUACAUGUUGAUUGCGGUGGGGUGAGUCGGGAAAGGUGAUUCCUAAAAAUCAGCCUGAACAGCAGAAUCCUGCUUUGGGAGGGUGAGAGGGCUUGUGGACCAAGGAUGCUCACAUGAGGACUUCUGCAUGGCCCUCCUCCCCCCCCCCCCACCUUCUCCCUACUGAAUCACAAAGUUCAAGGCCAGUUUUCUAAGCUGUAGGAAUGGCUCUAGCUGAGGGAUAUGAUUUAAAAAAAAAAAAAAAAAAAAA
rnacentral:lncRNA from 1 species